UACGGGGGGGGUAAGCGUUGUUCGGAAUUACUGGGCGUAAAGGGCUCGUAGGCGGCCAACUAAGUCAGACGUGAAAUCCCUCAGCUUAACUGGGGAACUGCGUCUGAUACUGGAUGGCUUGGAUUCGGGAGAGGAAUGCGGAAUUCCACGUGUAGCAGUGAAAUGCGUAGAGAUGUGGAGGAACACCGAUGGCGAAGGCAGCCCCCUGGGCUAACACUGACGCUCAGGCACGAAAGCGUGGGGAGCAAACAGG
rnacentral:rRNA from 1 species